CCUACGGGGGGCAGCAGUGAGGAAUAUUGGUCAAUGGCCGGAAGGCUGAACCAGCCAAGCCGCGUGAAGGACGAAGGUGCCAAGCAUUGUAAACUUCUUUUGUCAAGGGACAAAAUCAGGCUCGAGAGCCUGACCGAGGGUACUUGAAGAAAAAGCAUCGGCUAACUCCGUGCCAGCAGCCGCGGUAAUACGGAGGAUGCGAGCGUUAUCCGGAUUUAUUGGGUUUAAAGGGUGCGUUGGCGGACUGUUAAGUCAGCGGUAAAAGCCCGUGGCUCAACCCCGGCGAGCCGUUGAAACUGGCUGUCUUGACAUGUCGAGAGGAAUGCGGAUGCCGUGGGAGGAAUGUGUGGUGUAGCGGUGAAAUGCAUAGAUAUCACACAGAACACCGAUUGCGAAGGCAUCUCACGAAUCCGCGAUUGACGCUGAUGCACGAAAGCGUGGGUAUCAAACAGGAUUAGAUACCCUUGUAGUC
rnacentral:rRNA from 1 species